rfam:Schistosoma margrebowiei strain Zambia genome assembly, scaffold: SMRZ_scaffold0000802
AUCCAUCUGACGAGUCCCGAAUAGGGCGAAGUGUGUGUCAUGGAU